UGCAGUCGAACGGCAGCGCGGACUUCGGUCUGGCGGCGAGUGGCGAACGGGUGAGUAAUACAUCGGAACGUACCCUGUUGUGGGGGAUAACUAGUCGAAAGAUUAGCUAAUACCGCAUACGACCUGAGGGUGAAAGCGGGGGACCGAAAGGCCUCGCGCAGCAGGAGCGGCCGAUGUCUGAUUAGCUAGUUGGUGGGGUAAAGGCCCACCAAGGCGACGAUCAGUAGCUGGUCUGAGAGGACGAUCAGCCACACUGGGACUGAGACACGGCCCAGACUCCUACGGGAGGCAGCAGUGGGGAAUUUUGGACAAUGGGGGCAACCCUGAUCCAGCAAUGCCGCGUGUGUGAAGAAGGCCUUCGGGUUGUAAAGCACUUUUGUCCGGAAAGAAAUUGCUCUGGCUAAUACCUGGGGUAGAUGACGGUACCGGAAGAAUAAGCACCGGCUAACUACGUGCCAGCAGCCGCGGUAAUACGUAGGGUGCGAGCGUUAAUCGGAAUUACUGGGCGUAAAGCGUGCGCAGGCGGUUUUGUAAGACAGGCGUGAAAUCCCCGGGCUCAACCUGGGAAUUGCGCUUGUGACUGCAAGGCUAGAGUGCGUCAGAGGGGGGUAGAAUUCCACGUGUAGCAGUGAAAUGCGUAGAGAUGUGGA
rnacentral:rRNA from 1 species